rnacentral:rRNA from 1 species
UACGGAGGGAGCUAGCGUUGUUCGGAAUUACUGGGCGUAAAGCGCACGUAGGCGGCUUUGUAAGUUAGAGGUGAAAGCCCGGGGCUCAACUCCGGAACUGCCUUUAAGACUGCAUCGCUUGAAUCCAGGAGAGGUGAGUGGAAUUCCGAGUGUAGAGGUGAAAUUCGUAGAUAUUCGCAAGAACACCCGUGGCGAAGGCGGCUCUCUGGGACGGUACUGACGCUGAGACGCGAAAGCGUGGGGGAGCGAACAGG